CUAACUGAGCCCAGCAGGACAUGACCCCUCUCUCCUUCCUGCCUCUUCCCCACGGAGCCCAUCAGCCUGACACUGACUGACUGAGCCCAGCAGGACAUGACCCCUCUCUCUUUCCUGCCUCUUCCCCAGCACAUCAGCCUGAGCCCAGCAGGACAAAAAGCAGCUUACCCUGGGCACCAAUCAGAGGGGGGACUCCGGGACCUGCAGCCAGCAGAGGGAGUGAGGGACAACAAUAACUAUCCCCGGGCAUACACAGGACACCCAGCACUGACAGCAGCAGUAUCGCCGGCCACCUGAUGCUGCCCUGCAAACAGCUUCCUGAAGCUGGGAGCCCCGCUGGUAACAUCUAUUUCAGAAAUCCUUAGAGAAAUCCUUCACUGCUAAAGAUACCUUGAUACGUGGUUUAUACACCACAAAUGUCGCCACCUUCUACACCACCAUCCAAACCUCUGUCAGAAUCUUGCAUUAGCUGG